UACAGAGGUCUCAAGCGUUUGUUCGGAUUCAUUGGGCGUAAAGGGUGCGUAGGCGGCGCGGUAAGUCGGGUGUGAAAUCUUGGAGCUUAACUCCGAAACUGCAUUCGAUACUGCCGUGCUUGAGGACUGGAGAGGAGACUGGAAUUUACGGUGUAGCGGUGAAAUGCGUAGAUAUCGUAAGGAAGACCAGUGGCGAAGGCGGGUCUCUGGACAGUUCCUGACAGCUGAGACACGAAGGCCAGGGGAGCAAACGGG
rnacentral:rRNA from 1 species